GUCUCUUUUGCCUUGUACCUCAAAGACUGACCUCCAUUCACUCACCCAAAGGUUAAAAAAAAAAAAUCUACACUUCUGCAAUAGCUUCAGAGAGAUUGUUGUGAACCCACUCAUCUCGAAUUGAAAUUCCUUGGUUACUUGCAGCUAUCUCCAUUCAGGGUAUUGGGAAGAAGAGAGGCUUUGAGGCCGAUCUCAGCGACUAUCGCAACAACCAGCGGAGGCAGCCGUUCGCGAACACGGAGGAGAGAGAGAAGCAGAGGCUGGUUACGACUAAAGAGAAGGAGGUGUGAGGAGGACGAUGUAAGGUGUGAGGUGAGGACGAGGGAGAAUACUGGGUUAUUGAACGUUUCGGUAAUUGUUUAUUGUGAUGACCUGUACUAAGCAAACUACUUGUAAGUCAACUUGAGGAAAGGCUUCAAGGAAGCAGCUCGCCACCAAGAGAGUCAGAGCCAAGUAGCCGCACAUUGAUAUAAUAAUGCAGCAGCGAACAAACGGGAUUAAAUAUGGAACUAUGAAAGUAGGGAAAGACAUGUAGGCCUUGAGAGUCAUAAAUUGUUUAUAUUGAUAGACCAAAACAACCAGGUUAAAUUUCUUUGAUUUUAAUUUAUGCUUUGGUCCAAGGACAAAAACAUGUUUUCUCACAACAAAUAUAUGGUAUCAACAGCAUGGGCAUUUGCUUCCCUUAAUCUUCAAGCAUGCAUAUAAUUAACUUGCUCAAUUAUAGGUGGAGAAGAAGGAGAAGGAUAUAUAGUUGAGUUUUGACAGUGUUGAUCUAAAUGCAAUGCUUAUUAUCUAUCAAUAUUCCUUUUGCUUUCUUCUUGAUUUAGUAUUAUAUUCUUCUUAACAUAGAAGAACAUCUAAUCCUUUUUCUAUAAUCAUCCAAAAUAAAAGAAUAUGCUCUCGUUUGAUGAUUGUAUUAGCUGUGCUUUUAUCGCCACUUCCUCUGUUUAUCUGCACCUUUUAAGAUGUAGGUCAGUACUCUCUCACCCUUCGCCAGACUCAAAGCCAUCUACAGCGAAGCCCCACUUCCCCAAUCGCAGUGAAAGAGGAUUCCAAAUCUGCUGAAGCUAAAUUUAUGGUCUGAGGGUUGCUUGCAUUUUUGUUUUGCCCACAGUUCAUGCCGUAUUGAAGGAGCUGGCUUAGAAGUCUUUCAAUGCGACCUCGGAAUUAAAGCAGUAUCCCACUUUAAGAGUGGAAGUUGGGAAUGCAAGAUUUGAAUCGCUGGAUAGGAUGAAAGAAGAGAGCAAUGAAGCAACUAUGCAGCCAGUUGAUAUGGAGUGUGGUUACCUCACCGUUGAAUUUUUCCGCAAGCUUCCUGAGGAUAUUGAAAAGGGGGGAAAUCUGACACACUCACUUUUCGACAGAUAUAACGAUUCCUACCUCCGGUGGGUUGGGCAUUCCUCCUCAUCCUAGCAACAAGGAGUGCGGGUACUUUAUCAUGUGCUACAUGAGAGAUAUCAUUGACGAUAAAGACAUGUCAUUGUUUCCUUCCAAGUGGGAGAGGAGAGGUAGCAGCUAAUACACCCAAGCGGAUAUUGAUCAAGUGCGAAAUGAAUAGGGGAAGUUUGUUGUCAACACGUAUGUGCAUGGGCCAUGAAGUAUGUUGUGAAGGCAUAUGUGUAGGAGCUAAAGGAAAGCAUAAGAGGAAGUAGGUUGUUGUUGAAGGAAAGCAUAAUUUUUGUGCUUCUUUGCUAGUACAAUAUUCAUGCACUGUGUGGCAUGUUUUGUAACAAAUAGUUUGUAUUUGUAUCAGCUUUUGAUGUCCCAAGUAAAUGGGCAUGCAUUAGAAUACUUUUCUUCUUUCAAUGUUGGCUUGGAUGAUUGAGAAAUCCUCCCUUUUAACAUUUGAAUGCU